UACGUAGGGUGCGAGCGUUAAUCGGAAUUACUGGGCGUAAAGGGUGCGCAGGCGGUUCUGUAAGUCAGAUGUGAAAUCCCCGGGCUUAACCUGGGAACUGCGUUUGAAACUACAGAGCUAGAGUGUGGCAGAAGGGGGUGGAAUUCCAUGUGUAGCAGUGAAAUGCGUAGAGAUAUGGAAGAACAUCGAUGGCGAAGGCAGCCCCCUUGGUUAACACUGACGCUCAUGCACGAAAGCGUGGGGAGCAAACAGG
rnacentral:rRNA from 1 species